UUAAAACCCACUUGUUCUCUCUCUCUCUGAUUUCGCGGAAAAUUUCCCAGCAAACUCUCUCUCUUUUCAUGGCGGAAUCACCAAAGUACAUUGAGCCCUAUGAUUGCAGAGAAGCUGUAGCGAUUUCGCCAAAACUCUCUCUCUCUUUCGUUAUGUUGAACCCGGGAUUACAGAGAAUCCCGCCCGUGUUUAAACCCUCCGACGAGCCCUCCGGCAGCCAUGUACGGCGGAGGUGCGUUUCUUCUUCAAACCACGAAUUCUCCUUCAAGCGAGUCCAAUCGGUCAGAAAAUCAGCAGGUCCAUUCGAUGCACUAAUCUGCGUCGGCCAAUUCUUCCCCGAUUCACCGGAGCUUCUAGACGAGUUUCUGGAUUACGUCGAAGGCCGAGCUAGCUCAGGUCCUGAUUCCUACUUACUUCACCGGAGACUACGGCGUCUCCGCCCCCAAAAUCCUAUCCGCGACCUCGAAGAAAACUGAGAAUCAAGGGUUUAAGAUGGACGGGCUCGUGGUGGCACACAACUUGUUUUGGUUAAGAGGACGUGGGAAGUUCACUCUUCAUGGUUUGUCUGUUGCUUACUUAUCUGGUACGGAGUCAUCCGAUGGUCAGUUUGGGAAGUAAAGUCAAGAUGAUGUUGAUGCUCUUCGUGCUCUUGCUGAUGAUUCUGGAGUUGUUGAUUUGUUUUUGACAUAUCUUUUUUUGAACUUUUGAUGGAUGGAUUGGUUUAUUUAUGUUCAUGUUUUUAGUAAUUGUUGGUCCUUAAUUAGUUUAUUUACUAAUGAAUGGCCUGUGGGAGUCACGAACAGAGCUGCGGAGUCUGAUAUUCCUGCAGAGGUUUCUGAUUCGUCUUGUUGUGAUUCCAAUGUUUCUUAAUUGGUGAAGGAAGUUAAACCUCGUUAUCACAUUGCAGGUUCGAUGGGGGGUGUUCUAUGCCCGUGAACCUUACUUGAACGUUGAUUCUAGUCAUGUAACUCGCUUUCUUUGCCUUGCUCAAGUUGGAAACAAAAACAAACAGGUGUGUUCUUUGAUAGUUACUCUUGUCCCAAGAGCUUGGUACUUAUUGGUCACACCUAACACUCUUGGUAGUUAGCUUUAAUUUACUUAAGUGCUCAAUGCGUGGUAGAGUCUAGUAUCUUGGUAGUUAGCUUUAAUUAGGUUGUGAUGAAAGUAAUCUAUUAUUACAAGUUUUCAAAUUUUUGAAUCUUAGAACCUUUAAUUGGUUCUAUCAUUGGAAGGUUUAAAACUAAACAAGUAUCUAAACUUUUUAAUUUGAUUAUUUUCAAUUAAAAAUUUGUUUUAGAACUCUAAGACCAUAUCUAUUGUUGGAGAUGGUCUUAGAGUGGGGUUCUUAGCGGAAGUUAAGAACUAUUUUUUAACUUCCGCUAAGAACCUCAUCAUAAGAACUCCGGGUUAAUCAUGCUCUAAAAACCGUCUCUUAGCCGAAAAGUGUAAAAAAGAAAAAAGAAUGUCAAAUCAUGAGUUAAUAACUCCUGCUAAAACAUCGGGGUUAAUCAUGUUCAUAACCGCGUAAAUAGUUUUUUGGGUGCAACUCGCGUAAAUGGUUUCUAGCAAUAUGACUCACACGCUUCAAUAAGAUAAAAGCUAUAAAUAAAAUGAAUAAAUCACAUAGUUUUCUUGAUUUGGUUGGUUGAUAACAUACUUUGAUACUCUGAAAUCUACGCGUGGUUGUCGAAUCCAGAGUUUGUAAAAUAUUUUAGAUUAGACUCAAGGAGACCGGUUAAUUUAGCACAAGAAUAAACCAGAGUUUAGCACGUAAAAGCUAUGAUUAACAAAAGGAGACUACCGUUUGUCGUUCCUCUCUUCCUCAUCCUCGUUCCUGGAAGCUGUGAGUUUGAUGAAUCUGAGGAUGUUUCUGAAGGAGAGAGGAACACUUAGUCGACGAGAGAUGAAGAGACCAGGGAUGAGAACAAGAGCAAAAAAAGUCAAAACAAUAGAGAACAUAUACACCAUUUUUGUUUUGUCUUUGUUUCAGUAUUUUAGAACCGAAGCACUCGACUACGAACUUAAAGAGGUUCAAGUUCAAAGACGCACAUGAUUAAUGGAACGUUUUCCGGCUCGCUAUCUGUCUCUUCUUGAUGCUACGCAAAGACAGGUCCUACGAAGGUUUAAUACGAUCUUACGACACUUGAAAAUACUAAAUGGUUAGUUGAAAAAAAAAAAAUACUAAAUGGUUUUGCAUGUGAUUUGCUUAUUAAGUUAAGACAUUUUUAUGAGCCCAGAUUUGGACUUGGAUCAAUAUAAUUAUAUAACUUUACAUUACAUCAAUGAAGUCUCGUAAAGUAUUAAAUAAACUGAGGUAUGGUGUUUUAGAAAAAAACACCAAACAGGUAUGAUGGAAACUUCUUACGUUCACUAGCAAAAAGAAAAGGAAAGGGUAUAUGAUGUUAACAUUAAUGUCGAAGCUAGCCGUAUAGAUAUCAUAUAGCUAUUCACAUUUUGUUUGCGUGCAUAUAGUAUCAUUCUUCUAAUAUGAAAGAGCUCCUUUUCAUUGUAGUAGUUGUUGUUGCUUGAUUCAAAGUCAAUCUAGAAUUUAGGAAUAAUAGGGUUUCUGGUUUAACUUAACGUAGUUGUUUCCUAGUUAUUAAGAGUUUAUUAUUUAUCUUUUAUAAUCAUGGGUAAUCUAUUUUUUUAUAAAUUCAGUAUUUUAUAAUUGUAUUUCUUAAGCUUUUUAAUCAACUUAAUAUUUUAGCUUCCUUUCUCUGAAAUCUCCCAACAAUUAUGGUAUCAGAGCAAAGCAAAAUUUCAGGUUUUAAUCCUCGUUAAAAAGAAAGAAAAAAUAAGAAGAAGAAGAAGAAACGAUGGCUAGCAACGGUUCACCGCAUGCCCUUGUUCCGAUUUUCAAAGGUGAAAAGUAUCAUAUAUGGAGUCUCAAGAUGAAGAAUAUGUUCCGAUUGCAAGAAUUAUGGGAUCUGGCCGAAUCUGGUUUUGAAGAUGAUAAUCCAGAAGAACCUGAUCAAUCUCUACGGAAGAGAAGAAAGAAAGAUGCAAAAGCAUUAUUCUUCAUCCAAACGGCAUUGGAUGAUGAUAUACUCUCAAGGAUCUCUGCAGCAAACACAGCUCAUGAAGCGUGGGAGAUUCUGAAGCAUGAUUAUAUGGGAGCACAAAAAGUGAUCCUGGUGAAGUUAAAAACUUUAUGGCAAAAACUUGAAACUCUUUCUAUGGAACAUAAGGAAACUGUUCAAGAGUACUUGGGUAGAGUGUCUACCAUUGUGAAUCAGAUGAAGGCUUAUGGUGAGUUAUCCACCAAUGAGAGCAUCGUGAGCAAGGUGCUGAGGAGUCUGUCAUCACAGUUUGAGUAUGUAGUUCCAGAAAUCAUUGAGUCAAAUGAUCUGAGACAUACACAUGUGAUGAAUUGAUGAGUUCUUUGUUGGCUCAUGAAGAUCGGCUUAGCAAAGCCUAUGAGAAAGCUUUUCAAAUGAAUGAAGAUUCUUCAGAAAAUGGAAGAUCUGAGUAUUAUGGAAACCAAGGCAGAGGUGGAUAUCAUGGUCGAGGCCAUGGUUAUGGAAGAGGAAGGGGUGGAUUCAAUGAACAGAAUCAACACCAAGGUUCAUACGAAUAUCAAGGUUAUCACAACAGUGGAUACGAGGAUCAAAGUCAGUUCAAGAGCAAUAUUCAGUGUAGGUAUUGCAAGAAGUUUGGGCACAAGGAGGCUGAGUGCUGGUCCAAACAAAGUAAUGAGCAAAAAUCAAAUUUUGCUCAAGAUGUUGAAGAAGAGAGUAAGCUAUUCAUGACGCAUUCUACUUGCACAAGUGUGUCUGAUGUGGUAUGGUUUUUGGAUUGUGGUUGUUCCAAUCACAUGGCUGGUUGACAUGGUAUCAGAGCGUAGCCACACCCCGAACCAUUAAUCCGGCCCAGAAAGAGGUCCGAUCAUCCCACUAGCUGAUGGUCCAUAGAAGGUUCAGUUCCGCCGAGAUUGUUAGAAAAAAGAAUUGUCUCAGAGGGGGUAUGAUGGAUUCAGCGAGAUUAAUGGUUAUACGCACCAUUAUUUCGAAGGAGGUUGUUGGAGAGAAGUCCCACAUUCAAAAUAUGUAAGGGACUUGAUAUAUAUGGGACUUGGGCCACUCCACUUACCGCUAAUUGAUUUUAAGUUGGAAGUACAGAAAACUUGACAGAAGCAGAAAUGUUUCUUGAGUGGCAGAUUGCAAUAAAACAGGAGAUGAAAUCUAUGGAGAAGAAUUCUACAUGGGAGUUCUGCAUAAAGAAAAAGCAAGGAGAAGAUGGAAUCUUUGCAUGUCAGAAGAAGUAUGGUGUUGCUUUGGUGAAGAAGUUCAACAUAUAUGGUUGUGAGAAGGCACUCACGACAAAUGAUUAUGGUAUGUGGUUUUCGAACUUGUUCAAUUUCAAGUUUGUUGGUUGGACAGACAGCGACUAGGCAGUAAGUUUGGAUAAUAUGAAAAGCAAUUUGGAAAAUUGCUUUAGUUUUGGUUCUGGUGCUGUUAUUUGGAGUUCAAAGAACCAAGAAACUGUGGCACUAUCAUCAACUGAAGCAGAGUAUGUGGCAGAAGAAGCAACAACAAGGCAAGUUCUAUGUUUAAGGAAGUUACUAGCUAAUUUCUGUGUUGAACAAGUUGAAGCUACAGAGAUAGCGUUUCAUGGCAGUAUCAAGAAGUUUGGAGUGUGCAAAUUUGAAUCAAAGGGGAGUGUUGAUUGAUUCAAAGUCAAUUUAGAAUCUAGGAACAAUGGGGGUUUGUGGUUUAACUUAACGUGGGUUGUUUCCUAGUUAUUAGGAGUUUUUUUUUUUACUAUCAUAGGUAAAGGGUAGUUAUCUAUUUCUUUAUAAAUUCAGUAUUUUGAAAUUGUGUUUUUUAAGCUUUUCAAUCAACAUAAUAUUUUAGCUUCCUUUCUCUGAAA